CAAAGGUGCAGGAAUUACUGGUUACCAAAUUCUAAAGUGCAGGGGUAUGUAGAAAGAGGAAUUUUAGUAUUCAAACAUCCAUCUAUUUUCUAAUAACUUCUGAUAUAUAAUAAUCUCCUGACAGAGGUCAUGUGGAUAAAGGAUGAAACCAUAAAAAUACAGCAGCUACAAGACUUCAUCAGAGGCUGGGAAUCCUGGAACAAGUAACUCACCUCCUGACUCCCCAUAGCUUGUCCACCACCUGCAAGGCACAUCUCAGGAAUGAUCCCCACCUGCCUGGAUGGGUGCAGCUCCAACAACACUCAAGAAGCUUGACACCAUCAGGGACAAAGCAACCCGCCUGAUUGGCACCACAUCCACAAGCAUCUGUGGAUGAGGAAUUAGAGGGUUUUGGUGGUGCAAUGAAUACGCGGGCCAGUGCUCAUUGUCCGUCCCUGAAUCUCCCUUGACCUGUUGGUGCUUUUUUGAAUUGCCUUUCUGUAGAAAUUUGGUAUGGGCUUCCUGGAUUUCAGAGUCAACUGCAUUGCUGUGGGUCUGGAGUCACCUGCAGACCAGACCAGGUCGAUAGCCAUCAAUCCCCCUUCCAGCUCUUCCCUGAAUGAAAAUGCCUGGGAAAGGGACUGGGGCAGCAGAUCACCGUGUGAUGGAUAAUUGUGAGCACAACUGCUUCUGGCUUCACCAACUCGAGAAAACCAUUAACUCUGCCUCGAUCCCCACAGCUGCAUUUCCCUACAUUUCCUGCUUAUCGUUCAGAUUUCCUGUAUUCACAUUAAUAUCAAGAGUCAUUUUUCACUGAUUAAUUGUUCUGACCAUUACUAUAGCAACUAUAGAAGUGAAAGUUUAGGUCUUUACAGGGUAUGGAACACCAUUGCCGACCAUACCUAUCUUUGGUUUCUCAUUUUGAGUCAGCUAAUUUUCUUUUCUUUUAUUUACAGUUUUCAGAACUUGAUUGCCAAUAAAAUAUCUACCAAAAAUGUCUCACCUAUUCUUUUUUCAUUGUGAAUGCUAUACACUUCUGGAAAGCCAUUAUUAAAUGUCUUUGACUGAAGGAUAAGCCGUCAGUCCAUCUUCACUCAGUGGGGGAUUGUUUUAAAAAUACUGUAAACUGGAUGGGGGUUUUAUUUUUAUCUUAAAUCUAGAUGAAUGCUCACGUACCAAUGCAUCACCCAAUGUGUGGGGAGGAGAGUACAAGCUGUGAUUUAUCAUAGACAGGGCUGAACAAGGCAAAUUGCAUAAAAUCUAUCCCCAUUUUUCAAACUCUCAGCUCCACAAGGAACUCUGCAUUGGAGAAUGGGGAUGUGGUGAAGAGGAGGUUAGUUAAAAGAUAGCAGCUGCUGGCUUGUCCGAAAGCAAACUUCUGCUCAAGAAGAAUAACCUAUCAACAUGUAAACUGUCCCUAGUUCCUUACAAUAAUCAUUGGACAGGGGUCCUGGAAAAGUAUUGAAUGGAAGGUACGUGAAAGUUUUCCUUAAAUAAAGCAAGGAAGUGUGGAUUCCAGAGACCUGAAACAAACAAAGGCAGAGCAUGCUGGAGAAACCCAACGAGUCUGGCCGCA